UCUGGUAAUUUAUUUGUUGGUUU
rnacentral:snRNA from 1 species